rnacentral:rRNA from 1 species
GACGAACGCUGGCGGCGUGCUUAAUACAUGCAAGUCGAGCGAGAAGCCUCCGCUUCGUAAGAAGUGGAGGUGGAAAGCGGCGAACGGGUGAGUAACACGUGGGCAACGUGCCCCAGACACAGGGAUAACAGUGGGAAACCGCUGCUAAUACCUGAUGACCCCUAUAGAUCGCAUGAUCAGUAGGGCAAAGCUCCGGCGGUCUGGGAUCGGCCCGCGGUGUAUCAGCUUGUUGGUGGGGUAACGGCCUACCAAGGCUUUGACGCAUAGCUGGCGUGAGAGCGCGACCAGCCACACUGGGACUGAGACACGGCCCAGACUCCUACGGGAGGCAGCAGUAGGGAAUCUUGCGCAAUGAGCGAAAGCUUGACGCAGCGACGCCGCGUGUGGGAUGACGGCCCUCGGGUUGUAAACCACUUUCAGCAGGGACGAAGCCUCACGGUGACGGUACCUGCAGAAGAAGGUCCGGCCAACUACGUGCCAGCCGCCGCAGUAACAC